rnacentral:antisense_RNA from 1 species
AGGAAUGGGAUAUUCCGACUCCUUAAGGGCCUGGAGCACAUAAGGUGUGACCUUUUCAUUCCCGUUGUCAUGGAGGGCCACAUCUGCCAGAGCCUGGAGUCUGCGAAGGCCGGGACCCGGUUCCCCGGCCCGCCGUGGGGAGUGUGCAAACCCGAGAGAACUGGGUUGCAAAUUCGUGAAGAAUCAGCAGCAUGUUUGGCAGCUGAGUAUUGGAGCCAGGAGCCUGCCAUGAGGUUAUAUUCCCAGAGGAUGUCAGUCCCAAGGACCAGUAGCUGCCAUCAGUUUGGAUUCUGAAAACUAACCGGCAUCAACAUUGGGUGUAGAAACAUGCUUGCCUUGUGUAUCAGAGGACAUGCUCAGCAGAUCCAAGAGAUAUAUUUGGCAACUUUUUCUAGAAAAGGCACAUUAGGUAUCAUUCAUUACAUUCUUGAGUUUUUUUGGGGUUUUUUUUUUUUUUGAGACAGUCUUGCUGUGUUGCCCAGGCUGGAGUGUGGUGGCACAAUCACAGCUCAUUGCAGCCUCAAUCACCCAGGCCUAAGCAAUCCUCCCACCUUGUAGCUGGGACUACAGCUCACAGCACACCUGGCUAAAAUUUU